UUCAUAUGUCGACAAAAUAGCGCACACGGGAGCAGGGAAAAGGAGCGAAGGAAGGAGGAGGGGGAUACGCUUGGAAUUGCAGUUUGACGGCGUCGUCGAAAAGUUCCACACAAAGAAUGGACCAGCAGCCGGUAGGGACUAGGGGACAAACUUUCAUGGAUUUGAUGGAGGACAAUCUCUUCCAAGGCAGUCAAUACGUAGAGGAUUACAUCUGGACUUCUUUAUAGAGGCACACGAGAAGGAUUCAAAGUUUUUUUCACACGGAUUUGGAUCUAGCUUGAAGGAGCUGAGUGAGCACAUUUUGGGGUAACAUCUCGAGAGGAAAUGGGGAGAAAAGUAAAAAUAAGUGAAGAGAAGACGGCUUCAUCCUCGCUUUAAUGAACUCUUCUAUGUUCGAAUAGGCUGUCCUAUAAAGUGGAUGCCUUUCUUUCACGUAGCAUUGCAUGCUUUUAAACCAUGACAUUAAUAACUACUAUUCGAUGAAUGAAUUAAGGUAUAAUAAUCAGAAAGCUGUCAGGGCUUUGUUUCGCGAUGUCAACUGUUGCGCGAGUGUUGGGUAGCAUUUGUGUUUAUGAAAUUUGAGCAUGAAAGAGACUACAAUUUGCUUAAAACGGUUAGGCUACUUUGUAGCACUGGGUCGAUGUAACUCUUGAGAGAAGUUAAGCCUUUUUCGUUCGUUAAAUUGAGAAUCCAAACCCCUCCCCACUUCUGUUUGAAUUGUCCGAUAAAGUUACAUCCCUAAAACAUAUGGCAUAGAAUAGCUGUCUUUUGACCACUGAAACGGUAGGCUACACAGAUGAUGUGGCUAUGAUCCAUUAUAACAGGCUACUUAGACCGAACAAUUGCUAUAGCCUAUUUGACCUACAUGUGACGUGAAUCAGAUUGUCUUUGAUGGCGUUUUUUAUCGUUCAGAGAGAUUUUGAUCGUAAUUACACUUUCAUAGCACAUAUUCGGUGCACACAAGCUGGACACUACCUUUUGGUGGGAAGAUUGUUUUUUAGUUCUGUUUGUAGUCCACAACUGGACAACGACGAUAUUCCAGUGGUCACUACCGGGACAGGCAUCUUGACCGAGUGCCUGAUGGUCGACCAAGACCACUCUGAAAAUUCAGAUUUUUGCUGGAUUUAACGCUGAACCUGGAAUCUACCUUAAUUCGCCUUUAAACGAAGAACGCCACAUCCUGUAUCGUAUGCCUGUGUGACUGUGACCAGGCAUGCAGCUGAAUCCACCAAAGAGCGCUCUAAUCAGCUUCACUCCGCCGCUGUUGCCCUCAGAGACACCACAUUCCUUUUCUAGUCAGUUCAAAACAAUGCGGUUUUCAUACCACAUCAGCAGCGGCUUGCCGAGUCCUCAGCCGGCACUGAGAAGGAUAGGCUUCAAAGGGGCAUAAAAGUUGUUUUGAACCAGCCUUGAAAGAAAAUCUGUACAUUAGCGGGGGAUGUGCUGUACGCUACUUCAAGCAUGGAGAAAGCCUACACAUGAUGAAAAGUCAUCUUGAUCCUGCACUCAGGCGAUAAGCCAGUAACAAAGGCCAUGGCUGUGGAGUGGUAUUGUGGCUGUUCCUUCUGUGCUUCAUGAUGACAUUACACUGCCAUGUUUGCCGUUCAAAUGUGUGUGAGUGUGUAUUCCCUUGUGUGGAAGGCAGUUUUUUCCCUGUUUGCCCAAGCACCACAGUGUGAAAUCCAAUUAAGGAUUGCUGUGAGAUGCAUCUGUGCUGACCAGUGGAUAUGACAGUUUGCGUGAAUCGCGGUUCAGCCACUGCAAGUUGAAGGUGGAGAGAAAGUGCUUCAAAUGGAACACUUAAGCCCAUUUCUGCAGAUAUUAAUGCCAUAGGUACAAUAAGAGUGUUGGUAAAUGCAUUCAUGAGAUGUGGAGCAAAAGCUGUGAUGGAGCGAUUCAGUAGCACGGCAGUGGAAUGGAUCGAGUGCUGUCAGGAAGAGGAGGAAGACUGUCACGCUCAAUUGACAUUGGUUCACCACUUACUGAGGGCUAACGGAAAAGGAAGAUCUUUGGGAGCUAAGUGACAGGCCUAUCACUAUGACUUUUUAUAACCAUUAAGGACAAGAGGAUUACAUUUUGUGUUUGUUCUCAUAAGAACAGUAAAUCCCCUCCAGACUUGCUGAUUUUUGGGAUCAGUCCUUUGACCACUAAUCAUGUAAAAUGAUUUUAAUCUUUUGUUGUUUUUAAAACAUUCACACCAUCAUCAACUAUACAAUAUGGGGGGUUGGUGGACUUAAGAGGGCAGAUGGAGAGUUUCUGCUUUUCUGUUAAAGUUGGGAGAGGCUUUAAUCCAGAUCGUCUUAAAUAAAUCCCUUUCUCCAGCU